AGGCAAGAAAUACAAGCUGGGAGGUGAG
rnacentral:piRNA from 1 species